UACGAGGGGGGCAAGCGUUGUUCGGAAUUACUGGGCGUAAAGGGUUCGUAGGUGGCCACUUAAGUCAGACGUGAAAUCCCUCAGCUUAACUGGGGAACUGCGUCUGAUACUGAGUGGCUUGAGUGCAGGAGAGGAAUGCGGAAUUCCAGGUGUAGCGGUGAAAUGCGUAGAUAUCUGGAGGAACACCGGUGGCGAAGGCGGCAUCCUGGACCGGUAUUGACGCUGAUGCGCGAAAGCCAGGGGAGCAAACGGG
rnacentral:rRNA from 1 species